rnacentral:rRNA from 1 species
GACGAACGCUGGCGGCGUGCUUAACACAUGCAAGUCGAACGGCAAGGCCCUGCUUUUGUGGGGUGCUCGAGUGGCGAACGGGUGAGUAACACGUGAGUAACCUGCCCUUGACUUUGGGAUAACUUCAGGAAACUGGGGCUAAUACCGGAUAGGAGCUCCUGCUGCAUGGUGGGGGUUGGAAAGUUUCGGCGGUUGGGGAUGGACUCGCGGCUUAUCAGCUUGUUGGUGGGGUAGUGGCUUACCAAGCCUUUGACGGGUCGCCGGCCUGUGAGGGUGACCGGCGACAUUGGGCCUGAGAGACGGCCCAGACGGCUACGGGAGGCAGCAGGGGGGAAUAUGGCACAGUGGGCGGGAGCCUGAGGCAGAAACGCCGCGUGCGGGAUGACGGCCUUCGGGUUGUAAACCGCAUUCGCCUGUGACGAAGCGUGAGUGACGGUAAUGGGUAAAGAAGCACCGGCUAACUACGUG